GGCUCAGGAUGAACGCUAGCUACAGGCUUAACACAUGCAAGUCGAGGGGCAUCAUGGAGUUUGCUUGCAAACUCUGAUGGCGACCGGCGCACGGGUGAGUAACGCGUAUCCAACCUUCCCUAUAGUAGAGGAUAGCCCGGCGAAAGUCGGAUUAAUACUCUAUGUUUUCCGUUGCAGACAUCUAAGAUGGAACAAAGGCUUGCCGCUAUAGGAUGGGGAUGCGUCUGAUUAGGUAGUCGGCGGGGUAACGGCCCACCGAGCCAUCGAUCAGUAGGGGUUCUGAGAGGAAGGUCCCCCACAUUGGAACUGAGACACGGUCCAAACUCCUACGGGAGGCAGCAGUGAGGAAUAUUGGUCAAUGGGCGCGAGCCUGAACCAGCCAAGUAGCGUGCCAGGACGACGGCCCUAUGGGUUGUAAACUGCUUUUAUACAGGGAUAAAGUCACCUACGUGUAGGUGUUUGUAGGUACUGUAUGAAUAAGGACCGGCUAAUUCCGUGCCAGCAGCAGC
rnacentral:rRNA from 1 species